GCAUGUUUUUGACAUUUGAAAAAUGGACUGCUCAGUAAUACUCACUUUAUUUUAUGUAAAUUUUUAAUUAACUACGUUAAAGUGUAGAUAAGAUGUUUACAGUAAGAGUGAGACCUAUCAGCUAGUUGUUAAGGUAAUGGCUUAACAAGGCUGUGACGGGUAACGGUAUUACUUUGUAAUAUUCCGGAGAAGGAGCCUGAGAGACGGCUACUAAGUCUAAGGAUUGCAGCAGAGGCGAAACUUGACCUAUGGAUUUUAUCUGAGGCAGUUAUGGGAAGUAAUAUUAUAUUGUUUCAUAUUUUAAAAGUAUAUGAGGUGAUUAAUUGGAGGGCAAAUCAAGUGCCAGCAGCCGCGGUAAUACUUGUUCCAAGAGUGUGUAUGAUGAUUGAUGCAGUUAAAAAGUCCGUAGUUUAUUUUUUUAAGAAGCAAUAUGAGGUGUACUGUAUAGUUGGGAGAAAGAUGAAAUGUGACGACCCUGACUGGACGAACAGAAGCGAAAGCUGUACACUUGUAUGUAUUUUUUGAACAAGGACGUAAGCUGGAGGAGCGAAGAUGAUUAGAUACCAUUGUAGUUCCAGCAGUAAACUAUGCCGACGAUGUGAUAUGAAAAUAUUAAUUUGUAUUACAUAAUAGAAAUUUGAGUUUUUUGGCUCUGGGGAUAGUAUGAUCGCAAGAUUGAAAAUUAAAGAAAUUGACGGAAGAAUACCACAAGGAGUGGAUUGUGCGGCUUAAUUUGACUCAACGC
rnacentral:rRNA from 1 species